rnacentral:rRNA from 1 species
CAGGCGCGUAAAUUGCCCGAAUCCUGACACAGGGAGGUAGUGACAAGAAAUAACAAUACAGGGCCACUUUGGUCUUGUAAUUGGAAUGAGUACAAUUUACAUCUCUUCACGAGGAUCAAUUGGAGGGCAAGUCUGGUGCCAGCAGCCGCGGUAAUUCCAGCUCCAAUAGCGUAUAUUAAAGUUGUUGCAGUUAAAACGCUCGUAGUCGGAUUUCGGGGCGGCUUCGCCGGUCUGCCGUUGGGUAUGCACUGGCAGGGCCGUCCUUUCUCCCGGAGACUGCCCUUUAACUUAACUGAUCGGGGGCGGGAGACGGGACGUUUACUUUGAAAAAAUCAGAGUGUUUCAAGCAGGCAGCUCGCUCUUGCAUGGAUUAGCAUGGGAUAAUGAAAUAGGACUUUGGUGCUAUUUUAUUGGUUUCGAACACCAGGAGUAAUGAUUAACAGGGACAGUCAGGGGCACUCGUAUUCCGUCGAGAGAGGUGAAAUUCUCAGACCAAUGGAAGACGAACCACUGCGAAAGCAUUUGCCAGGGAUGUUUUCACUGAUCAAGAACGAAAGUUAGGGGAUCGAAGACGAUCAGAUACCGUCGUAGUCUUAACCAUAAACCAUGCCGACUAGGGAUUGGAGGGUGUUCGUUUCGACCUCUUCAGCACCUUACGGGAAACUAAAGUCUUUGGGUUCCGGGGGGAGUAUGGUCGCAAGGCUGAAACUUAAAGGAAUUGACGGAAGGGCACCACCAGGAGUGGAGCCUGCGGCUUAAUUUGACUCAACACGGGGAAACUUACCAGGUCCAGACGUUGUUAGGAUUGACAGAUUGAGAGCUCUUUCUUGAUUCGAUGGGUGGUGGUGCAUGGGCCGUUCUUAGUUGGUGGAGUGAUUUGUCUGGGUUAAUUCCGAUAACGAACGAGACCGUAGCCUGCUAAAUAGUCCCGCGAACUUCUUGUUGGCGGCCGACUUCUUAGAGGGACAACUUGUGACCAACAAGUGGAAGUUUGCGGCAAUAACAGGUCUGUGAUGCCCUUAGAUGUUCUGGGCCGCACGCGCGCUACACUGAUGCACUCAACGAGUCUCCACCUUGACCGAGAGGUCCGGGAAACCUUCGAACUUGCAUCGUGAUGGGGAUAGAUUAUUGCAACUAUUAAUCUUCAACGAGGAAUACCUAGUAGGCGCAUGUCAUCAGCGCACGUUG